UGCGUAGGCGGCGCGGUAAGUCGGAUGUGAAAUCUCGGAGCUUAACUCCGAAACUGCAUUCGAUACUGCCGUGCUUGAGGACUGGAGAGGAGACUGGAAUUUACGGUGUAGCGGUGAAAUGCGUAGAUAUCGUAAGGAACGCCGGUGGUGAAGACGGGUGACUGGGCUGGUUCUGACACUGAGGCACGAAAGCGUGGGAGCAACG
rnacentral:rRNA from 1 species